rnacentral:misc_RNA from 1 species
GAUGAAGAACGUAGCGAACUGCGAUAAGUAAUGUGAAUUGCAGAAUUCAGUGAAUCAUCGAGUCUUUGAACGCACAUUGCGCCCCCUGGCAUUCCGGGGGGCAUGCCUGUCCGAGCGUCAUUGCUGCCCUUCAAGCCCGGCUUGUGUGUUGGGUCGUCGUCCCCCCCGGGGGACGGGCCCGAAAGGCAGCGGCGGCACCGCGUCCGGUCCUCGAGCGUAUGGGGCUUUGUCACCCGCUCGAUUAGGGCCGGCCGGGCGCCAGCCGGCGUCUCCAACCUUUUAGUUUACCAGGUUGACCUCGGAUCAGGUAGGGAUACCCGCUGAACUUAAGCAUAUCAAUAAGCGGAGGA